CCUGAAUUACACAUAUAUUACGGAUUACCCCUGACUUAAUGUUAUUUUCCAGUGCAGGUAUUUGUUGACAACACAUAUAUAUUGAAAAACCCAACCUGAUAUGUUCGGCAUACGUGAAGGAUUUUCUCAUUUGCUGUGAACAUAAUUUUAUCGUGUAUGUAAUAAUUUAUAAUAACACUUUUAACAUUAAAUUUAAGUAUUAAAAGUGUAAAUUGCGUGAUUUUGUAUCAAAAAUGUUUUAUUGACUGAAGCACGUCAUUAUUUUCCCUCUGUGAGCCUCUGACAGUCUGAUAGCUUUUGACUACGUCACAUAGUAACCGGUGUUAUGAUGACGUUUUUGAGGUUCCAAUCGGGGAUAAAAACGUCGUAUAUACCCCGGC
rnacentral:lncRNA from 1 species